CGGGGGAUGCCCAGGGUCGGGGGAUGCCCAGGGUCGGGGGAUGCCCCCAUUCGGUGGAAGCCACGCGGGGUUGCAGACAAGCCGGGUCAGCCGUAUAUUUAUUGAGAAUGUUUGUGGAGGGAUAAAAAUAUUUCCACUACUCUAUAAGAAUUUAUAAACCUAUACUCUCUGAUCUGUUAAUAAACGCCUCUAGGACCGUCAUGCCAGGGGAGGGGCUUCCGUAAGAAAAUAGCGAGAUUAAAAAAAGGAAAGCGCUCAGUGUUCCCUGCAGGGCCCUGCCCCGGGGCGCCCUGCCCACGGGGGCCACGGCACCCCCUGCUGGCACGGGGACAUGGGGGGCGCAGGCCAGUGCUGCCCUGGCACCCUGCAGCCCCCACCCCGAGCCCUGGCUGGGCACAGCCCCCGCCAGCCACACCCCACCUGGGGCACCCCGACUUGGGGGCCCUGAUGGGGACAGGACACAUCCCCACAGCAGUGAGCUCCCAGUGAUCCCACUGCUCCCAGUGAUCCCACUGAUCUUACUGCUCCCAGUGAUCCCACUGCUCCCAGUGAUCCCACUGAUCUUACUGCUCCCAGUGAUCCCACUGCUCCCAGUGAUCCCACUGAUCUUACUGCUCCCAGUGAUCCCACUGCUCCCAGUGAUCCCACUGAUCUUACUGCUCCCACUGAUCCCACUGAUCUUACUGCUCCCAGUGACCCCACUGCUCCCAGUGAUCCCACUGCUCCCAGUGAUCCCACUGCUCCCACUGCUCCCACUGCUCCCAGUCCUGCCUGCAUCUCACACUCCCCUGUGGCUCUCCCAUUCCCAGGAGGGGGGUGGGAUCCAUCUCCCCACGGACGCUGUGAGAGGUGACCAGGGCUCACCCUGGGGACACAGUGGGGCUUUUCAGGGAGCAACACAGCUGGGGACAUCCUUGGGGACACAGGGACACUGCACAGAGCCCUGCAGGGUGGAGACGUGGCUGGGGACAUCCCACACGAGGAGGCAACGCAGCUCUGUGGGACAGCAGCGCAGAUGGGGACAGUCUGGGGGGGACAAGCUGCAGUGCUCUGUAGGGCAGCAACACCCACCAGCACACGGUGGGGAACACGGGGACAGCAGUGCUUCGCUGGGAAGCAACAGGGAUGGAGAUAUCCUUGGAGAAUACACAGGGCUGCCAAGAAGCAGCAGGGACAGGGACAUCCUGGGCACACAGGGACACCACAGACGAGCAAGUGGCAGCAGGGGCCAAAAUUCCAGCCAGAGUCGGUGCUGUUGCCAUGGGGUGAGGGGUGCCAUGAGCACAGGACACUUGUUAUUGCUUUACAGGGCCAACAUCACAGCGGGCUGGGGGUGCCCAGCCCCUGAUUUGGGGUUCAAGGGAUUUCCCCCGAUUCCCCAGUCUCCCCAUGCCCCAGCCCUGCUGUCACUCAGUGGGGACAGGCUGAGGACACAAGGCUGGACACUGACAAACUUCAGUCCCCCUGCACUGCUGCUGGCGUGGAGCAGGAUGGUGGCUGUCCCUCCUGCGUCCCCUGUCCCCAGGAACUGCUGCUCCUCCACGCCAGCCAAGGGAAGCAGCCCUGUCCCCGAUAGCAGGGCAGCUGGGCCUUAG
rnacentral:lncRNA from 12 species